GCUGGCGGCGUGCUUAACACAUGCAAGUCGAACGGGAAAGCCCUUCGGGGUGAGUAUAGUGGCGCACGGGUGAGUAACACGUGGGUAAUCUACCCUUGAGACGGGGAUAACCUACCGAAAGGUGGACUAAUACCGGAUAAGACCACAGCCACGUAGGUGGCAGAGGUCAAAGAUGCCCUCUGAAUGUAUGGUAUCGCUUGAGGAUGAGCCCGCGGCCCAUUAGCUAGUUGGUGAGGUAAUGGCUCACCAAGGCAGUGAUGGGUAGCUGGUCUGAGAGGAUGAUCAGCCACACUGGGACUGAGACACGGCCCAGACUCCUACGGGAGGCAGCAGUGGGGAAUAUUGCGCAAUGGGCGAAAGCCUGACGCAGCAACGCCGCGUGAGUGAUGAAGGCCUUCGGGUUGUAAAGCUCUGUCAGGUGGAACGAAGAAGCGUGGUGUGAAUAAUGCCAUGUAGUGACGGUACCACCAGAGGAAGCACCGGCUAACUCCGUGCCAGCAGCCGCGGUAAUACGGAGGUGCAAGCGUUGCUCGGAAUCAUUGGGCGU
rnacentral:rRNA from 1 species